UUACAGGAUGUGUUGCUGAUCCACAGGUUGAACCAAUAGAAACAGUAUUUAACAGGAUGUCCUGUUGAUCCACAGGUUGAACCAAUAGAAACAGUAUUUAACAGGAUGUGUUGUUGAUCCACAGGUUGAACCAAUAGAAACAGUAUUUAACAGGAUGUCCUGUUGAUCCACAGGUUGAACCAAUAGAAACAGUAUUUAACAGGAUGUGUUGUUGAUCCACAGGUUGAACCAAUAGAAACAGUAUUUAACAGGAUGUCCUGUUGAUCCACAGGUUGAACCAAUAGAAACAGUAUUUAACAGGAUGUGUUGCUGAUCCACAGGUUGAACCAAUAGAAACAGUAUUUAACAGGAUGUCCUGUUGAUCCACAGGUUGAACCAAUAGAAACAGUAUUUUAUAGGAUGUGUUGUUGAUCCACAGGUUGAACCAAUAGAAACAGUAUUUAACAGGAUGUGUUGUUGAUCCACAGGUUGAACCAAUAGAAACAGUAUUUAACAGGAUGUGUUGUUGAUCCACAGGUUGAACCAAUAGAAACAGUAUUUUACAGGAUGUGUUGUUGAUCCACAGGUUGAACCAAUAGAAACAGUAUUUUACAGGAUGUGUUGUUGAUCCACAGGUUGAACCAAUAGAAACAGUAUUUAACAGGAUGUGUUGUUGAUCCACAGGUUGAACCAAUAGAAACAGUAUUUAACAGGAUGUGUUGUUGAUCCACAGGUUGAACCAAUAGAAACAGUAUUUUACAGGAUGUGUUGCUGAUCCACAGGUUGAACCAAUAGAAACAGUAUUUAACAGGAUGUCCUGUUGAUCCACAGGUUGAACCAAUAGAAACAGUAGUUUACAGGAUGUGUUGUUGAUCCACAGGUUGAACCAAUAGAAACAGUAUUUAACAGGAUGUGUUGUUGAUCCACAGGUUGAACCAAUAGAAACAGUAUUUUACAGGAUGUGUUGUUGAUCCACAGGUUGAACCAAUAGAAACAGUAUUUAACAGCAUGUCCUGUUGAUCCACAGGUUGAACCAAUAGAAACAGUAUUUUACAGGAUGUGUUGUUGAUCCACAGGUUGAACCAAUAGAAACAGUAGUUUAUAGGAUGUGUUGCUACAGUUGUUUUGUGGUCCAUGAGUGAGGGUGUUGAUGUACUGAUCUCUCUGGUCACCAUAGCAACACCCACCUGUAGUACGCGCUCCAGCAGGUAUAUCUCUCUGGUCACCCCCAAAACCAAUUCUUUCUUUGGCCGCCUCUCCUUCCAGUUCUCUGCUGCCAAUGGCUGGAACGAACUACAAAAAUCUCUGAAACUGGAAACACUUAUCUCCCUCACUAGCUUUAAGCACCAACUGUCAGAGCAGCUCACAGAUACCUGCACCUGCACAUAGCCCAUCUAUAAUUUAGCCCAAACAACUACCUCUCCCCCUACUGUAUUUAUUUAUUUAUUUUGCUCCUUUGCACCCCAUUAUUUCUAUUUCUUCUUUGCACAUUCUUCCACUGCAAAACUACCAUUCCAGUGUUUUACUUGCUAUUACAUUUACAUUACAUUUACAUUUAAGUCAUUUAGCAGACGCUCUUAUCCAGAGCGACUUACAAAUUGGUGCAUUCACCUUAUGACAUCCAGUAGAAUAGUCA